GUAGGUGGCAAGCGUUGUCCGGAAUUAUUGGGCGUAAAGCGCGCGCAGGCGGUCCUUUAAGUCUGAUGUGAAAGCCCACGGCUCAACCGUGGAGGGUCAUUGGAAACUGGGGGACUUGAGUACAGAAGAGGAAAGCGGAAUUCCAAGUGUAGCGGUGGAAUGCGUAGAGAUUUGGAGGAACACCAGUGGCGAAGGCGGCUUUCUGGUCUGUAACUGACGCUGAGGCGCGAAAGCGUGGGGAGCAAACAGGAUUAGAUACCCUGGUAGUCCACGCCGUAAACGAUGAGUGCUAAGUGUUAGGGGGUUUCCCGCCCCCUUAGUGCUGCAGCUAACGCAUUAAGCACUCCGCCUGGGGAGUACGGCCGCAAGGCUG
rnacentral:rRNA from 1 species